GGGGGGUUAAUAGAAGAAUUUUUAAAUAUAAAUAUUAAUAAUUUUAAUGGGGUUAAAGUAUAUUAAUAGGAAAAAUUUAAAAAUUUAUAGUAUAUUAAGUAUUGUGAAAGAAAUUUUAAAUAGUUAGUUAAAAAGAAAUUUGAUAAAAAGUAAUUUUUAUUUAAUGUAUCUUGGGUAUCAGAGUUUAUUAAUUAAAUUAUUUAUAUUAAAUAUUUCUCGAAUUUAGGAGAGUUAAUUAAUUAUUAAAGUUAUUGUUGUAUAAAUAUUUUUAAUAAUUAAUUAGUAAUGAAAUGUUAUUCGUUCUUAAAUAUAUCUAGUUUUUUUAGAAAAAAAUUUAAUUUUAAAUUUAUUUAAUAAUAAAAUAAUUUAUAUUAUUUUAUUAUUAAAUAAAUUUUAUAUUUUAUGGGAUAAGCUUUAAAUUAAACUUAAUAUAAUUAUAAGUUUAAUUUAAUUUGAGAUUUAUAUAAUUUAUAUUGUUAAAAAAUUUUAGUUUUUUAUAAAUAAUUUCAUUUUAAAUAAAAUUUAAUUUAAUUUAUUUUAUUUAUAAAAAAAUAUUUAUUAAUUUUAUAUGAUUAGAUAUAAUGAUAAAAUUAGUAUAUAAAUAAAAAUUUAUUUUAAAAUAUUAAUUAAAUUAUGAUAUAAUUAUUUAAAAGGAAUUCGGCAAAUAUUUAUAUUCACUUGUUUAUCAAAAACAUGUCUUUUUGAUAAUAAUUUAAAGUCUAAUCUGCCCACUGAUAAUUUUAAUAUUAAAGGGCUGCAGUAUUUUGACUGUACAAAGGUAGCAUAAUCAUUAGUCAUUUAAUUGAUGACUUGUAUGAAAGAUUGGAUGAAAUAUAAACUGUCUUUUAAUUAUAUUUAGAAUUUAAUUUUUAAGUUAAAAAGCUUAAAUAAUUUAAAAAGACGAGAAGACCCUAUAGAGUUUUAUUUUUUAUUAAAAUUAAGAAUUUUUUUUAAUUAAAUAAUUUAAUUUUAAUAAAAAAUUUUAUUGGGGUGAUAAAAAAAUUAGAUUAACUUUUUUUAAAUUAUUUACAUAGAUAAGUGAUUAAUUGAUCCAUUUUUAUUGAUUAAAAGAAAUAAUUACCUUAGGGAUAACAGCGUAAUUUUAUUUUUUAGUUCGUAUAAGAAAUAAAGUUUGCGACCUCGAUGUUGGAUUAAGAUAAAAUUUAGAUGCAGAAGUUUAAAAUUUUGAUCUGUUCGAUCAUUAAAAUCUUACAUGAUCUGAGUUCAAACCGGUGUAAGCCAGGUUGGUUUCUAUCUUUUAAAAAGAAUUAAUAUUUUAGUACGAAAGGAUUAAAUAUUAAAAUUAAAUUUUUUUUUUGAAUUUUAUUAAUUUAUAAGAAAAAUAUUUAUUAUUAUUAUUUAUAGCAUAUAUA
rnacentral:rRNA from 1 species